ACACAACAGAUUUCAAGGAGGAGGAGGUAUUUUGGGCCUGAAGAGCUUUCCAAUUCCUAUCAAACCAUUCCCCAUAGGCACCUCUCUAAUAAGUAAUAUAUUCUUAAGUGGACUUUCUUUGGUGUGUCAUAUUUUAAGAGAAAAAGACAGUGGUGACCCACUGUGAUGUCAGUUCCAGGAUUAGGGCCCAUUCUUCAAUUCCCCCUGAAAAGAGGAGGGAAAAAAAACCCCUCCCUCUGGCUCACUGUCAGAGUUCCAGUCAGUCUGAGUGUACCAAGCAGACAGACCACCCACAAACUGCAACAAAUAACAACCGUCUCUUCUUCUGAGGCAGUUAUCCACCAUUUCAUCCAAGAAUUCUUUCUUCUUUGUGGAAGCUUGCUGAUUGCUGACAAUCUACAGUCUAAAUGAUGGUCAAGAAAUACUGCAGUAACUCUACUGGAGCCACUGGAGUGAGGAACCCUAGCAAAGACCCAUCUCUGCUGGGCAGAGUUUUCUCCUGCAUUAAUUGCCCCUGAAAGAAGAUGCCGGAAAAGCAAGGCUGAUAUGUAGGGGUCAGUCAGUGAAUGAGGAUGCACCAUACCUCUGUUCAGAUCAUUGACUCAGAACCUGAAGACACGAACACCAGAUGCAAGCGAUUUCUUCAAAUUGUGUCCUUGCAAUUAUUAUUCUGAAUCUCUAUUGAAAUAUUAUCUCAACUUUAUUGGA
rnacentral:lncRNA from 1 species